rnacentral:rRNA from 1 species
CCUAAGCUCUAGGCGAAAGCUAACACAUAAUAUAAAUUACAAACAAUCAACAAUUUAAUAUAAUUGUGUCACAUUUAUAUUGAGCGAAAGGGAAUACGGUUCCAAUUCCGUAACCUGUUGAGUAUACGUUUAUUGUGGGUCCUACAUAUAUUCCCUCACGGGUUUAUAUUGUAGGUUUAAAGCUCAUCCUGGUAACAGAAGCUACCAUAGAGAAGCCGUCGAAGCAUACCGGAAGAGUUAUCUUUUCUGUUUCAUAACUGUAUUACCAUGGAAAUCUUUAAUCGAGAGAUAUGGUAAAUGAGUUAGAAGAGCAUGGCGUUUAUUGCUGUGUCGGGUAUGUAUUCCUCGGACCUUGAAAAUCUAUGGUAGGGCCACGUAAACAUUCUCAAUAGACCGUACCAAUAUCCGCAGCAGGUCUCCAAGGUUAAGAGUCUCUAGUCGAUAGAAUAAUGUAGGUAAGGGAAGUCGGCAAAUUAGAUCCGUAACUUCGGGAUAAGGAUUGGCUCUGAAGAUUGAGAUGUGUCGGGCUUGUUUGGGAAGUAUGACUAAAUGUGUUGACUAAAGUAUCUGAUUAGUUGUUCUCUUUACGGAGAAUGGUGAAAAGAUAUGAUUAAGUCUUCACCAAGUACGGAACACUCAAGCUGUGCUGUAUUCUUAUUAAUUUAAGUUUACAGAUUAACAACGACCAUCAACAAACAAUCAAU